UGAGGAAUAUUGGUCAAUGGACGAGAGUCUGAACCAGCCAAGUAGCGUGAAGGAUGACUGCCCUAUGGGUUGUAAACUUCUUUUAUACGGGAAUAAAGUGAGGCACGUGUGCCUUUUUGUAUGUACCGUAUGAAUAAGGAUCGGCUAACUCCGUGCCAGCAGCCGCGGUAAUACGGAGGAUCCGAGCGUUAUCCGGAUUUAUUGGGUUUAAAGGGAGCGUAGGCGGACGCUUAAGUCAGUUGUGAAAGUUUGCGGCUCAACCGUAAAAUUGCAGUUGAUACUGGGUGUCUUGAGUACAGUAGAGGCAGGCGGAAUUCGUGGUGUAGCGGUGAAAUGCUUAGAUAUCACGAAGAACUCCGAUUGCGAAGGCAGCUUGCUGGACUGUAACUGACGCUGAUGCUCGAAAGUGUGGGUAUCAAACAGGAUUAGAUACCCUGGUAGUCCACACAGUAAACGAUGAAUACUCGCUGUUUGCGAUAUACAGUAAGCGGCCAAGCGAAAGCGUUAAGUAUUCCACCUGGGGAGUACGCCGGCAACGGUGAAACUCAAAGGAAUUGACGGGGGCCCGCACAAGCGGAGGAACAUGUGGUUUAAUUCGAUGAUACGCGAGGAACCUUACCCGGGCUUGAAUUGCAACUGAAUGAUGUGGAGACAUGUCAGCCGCAAGGCAGUUGUGAAGGUGCUGCAUGGUUGUCGUCAGCUCGUGCCGUGAGGUGUCGGCUUAAGUGCCAUAACGAGCGCAACCCUUAUCGAUAGUUACCAUCAGGUUAUGCUGGGGACUCUGUCGGGACUGCCGUCGUAAGAUGUGAGGAAGGUGGGGAUGACGUCAAAUCAGCACGGCCCUUACGUCCGGGGCUACACACGUGUUACAAUGGGGGGUACAGAAGGCAGCUACACGGCGACGUGAUGCUAAUCCCGAAAGCCUCUCUCAGUUCGGAUUGGAGUCUGCAACCCGACUCCAUGAAGCUGGAUUCGCUAGUAAUCGCGCAUCAGCCACGGCGCGGUGAAUACGUUCCC
rnacentral:rRNA from 1 species